CGAUCCACCCCAUCCCCUCGUCUCGUCUCUCCCUCAUCGUCGUCUCCACAGAUCCGAUCCACGUUCGAUUCCCCCCACGGAGCAGCCUCCGAUGACCCCAACCACGGCCGCCGACCCCAACCACGGCCGGCGAGCAACCCUAGCACUGGUGGCGGCUGUCGGCGCCACCUCCCUCUCCUUUCUGGCCGGGGAUCCACCUCUCGGUUCCUCCUGACCCCAACCCCUCGCUCCCCCUCCCCACAAACACCUCCCUGUCUCGUCCUCCUUCCUUCCAGACCGCUGCCACCUUCCUCGCCUCCAAUCCCCACCGCUGCUCAAGUCGCUCAAGGACGAACCGAACAAAUCCCCACCGCCGCUCAAGUCGAUCGAAACCUUAGACUUCCCCACCGUCGGUCGGCGCUGCCACAUCCCACGACCAGCCCGCCGCCUCCAUCCCUCGCCUGUGGCGAUGUCUUCCCUGUUCCAGAGAAGCUUGCUCGAGCGCCUCCACCACGUCGAGAAGCGGAUAGUGCAGGCGCUGGAGCUGGCGGGAUCGGUCAUGGGGGAGCUGGGAAACUCGCAGGGUCCCCGCGCCGGGGUCGUCAUCGACUGCUGCCGCGAGUUCAUGCUCUGCCGCGAGUUCUGUGCUCAGAGGACCCUGCUAAUGUAUGAUUCAGAUUUCGCAUUGGUUAUCCUACCAGGCUGGCUUACAAAAGCUAAAACUGCGAAGCUACCAAGCGCCACUGCUGUUGCAAGUGACAUCUGAAGUUUUCACUCACCGCUAGGGAUAGAGGCCUCUGGUGCAUACAAAUGAAGAUUGCUGAUAACAAAUAUCAGAACAGGAAACUGGAGUUUUGUUGCCCGUCUCUGUUUCCGCAUUUGUCCUUGUUAUGGUCAGAGUGCUAGAGCGUGGCUUGGCAAAGCUGUCGUACAAUGGGAGCAAGUUCAUCCUCAUCUGUAGCUACUAUGCGACUGCCGCACUGCAGUCUCCAUUCAGUUCCUAGAGCAUCUAAAUCUGUUAUUAUUGUAGCUGGUAUGCUUGAUGCGUGUAACCCCGUCUCUUUGCUCUUUUGGAAGAAUCGUAAAUCCUGAUGCAUGCUGCAUGUAUCCCUGUCUCUUUGGUGUUGUGCAAGAAUCGUAAAUCCUGAUGCAUGCUGCAUGUAUCCCUGAUUAUAGAACUAGUACUACAACUUUUGCGCUGUAGCCCAUGCCUCAUGUUGGUGUGUAUUCUAAUGAAUAUUUUUCAACCUGAUGCAUGAUGAUCAUGAUUUUGUAGACAACAAGUACCAUUCCCCAUUCAAAAUCCUGAUGCAUGAUGAUCAUGGUCUCGUUUUUUAGAUCUGUUUUGCUGGUGCUUAAAAUUUUACAUGCCUGAAUGAACUCAUUCUUAUAGUUCUUUUUUAUUUCUAUGAUCAAUUUAAUUAAAGUUUCAGAUGUUAGUAUACUAUACAUUAAAAAAUCCUAGCUAGUGAGAAUAUUUUAGUCACUCCAUAAACACAUAUUGGUUAGUGUUAGUCAUACUAUUUACAUGUUGUGUUUUCCACAAUAACAUGAUUAAUUAGGUUCCAUCCUCAGCUUUAGCGUCUUCUUCCAAAGGUUCUAAUCGAUUAGUACCGUCAACAUGUACAUAUUAUACUAUUUUGUUCCCUCAUUGGAUACUAGUUUGUUCUUAUUUUUUGCAUAGGUGAAAUGUGAAGCCAAGCGUGAAGUCGUGAAGCCUAUAUGCAAAGAGUAGCAUAUCAUGUAUUGUAGUAGUAGAUUGUAGUAGGCAUAUUUGAGUUGUAGCAGUGUGAAGAUUGUAAUAGACUAAUUUAGUGUUUUUUUGGACGAAUUUUAUUUGUUCUGUGAUCUAUUCAAAAUAUUGAUUUCGUA